AACAUUUCAACUGUAGCUCAUAACACUGGGUCACUGACAUAUUAUUUACAUGAUGAUGUGAUCAGUAGUUUUAACCUUUACAUUGUGGUAUUAGCUAUUUCCAAACAUGUAAUGGGUAGACACAGUAUGAUGAACAUCCUCUGGCUGCAGAUCUGCAUGUAGAUAACCUGUAUAGCAGAGGUAAGACAGUAUCAGGACAUUACAAAACUCUGAAUGGAUAAAGAAAGACUAUAUGACACUAAAAAGAUUACACUGCAGCUGUUAUACUGUUAUACAAAGACAGUGUCUGACCACAGCACACAGGUAGUGAACAUUGUGGUGCUGUGGGUGGCAGGAAUCCUGUAUGGUGCUGCUGUUUCUGGAGCUAAGAACAUCCUGGUCUCAUUUCAGCUGAUGGAGCCUCUCCACUGGAGUGUGGCACAGCCCGUUCUCUGAUGUUGUUCUCCCUGAUGCCCACACCAAUCAUCUGAUCUCUUUUGUCCCAACAAGUGCGUGGCUCCUCAUAUGGUACUGUCCUCACGUCACUGCAGCUGUCUCUGAAAGUUUCCAGUGCUGGCUACAGCUGCUUUACAUCAAGAUUUACCUGCACACUUUGAGCUGGUU